AUCCUUUUGUAUUUAAUAAGCGUGAUGAUUGUGUUUUCACGCUCAUAUAUGAAAUAUGCUUCCCUCAAACUUUGUGUCAAGGUCAAUUCUCCCCUGAUG